UGGGGAAUCUUGCGCAAUGGGCGAAAGCCUGACGCAGCGACGCCGCGUGGGGGAAGAAGGCUUUCGGGUUGUAAACCCCUUUCAGGAGGGACGAAGCCACUCGGGUGAAUAGCCCAGAGGGUGACGGUACCUCCAGAAGAAGCCCCGGCUAACUACGUGCCAGCAGCCGCGGUAAUACGUAGGGGGCAAGCGUUGUCCGGAUUUAUUGGGCGUAAAGAGCGUGUAGGCGGUUUGGUAGGUCCGCUGUGAAAACUCGAGGCUCAACCUCGAGACGCCGGUGGAAACCAUCAGGCUAGAGUCCGGAAGAGGAGAGUGGAAUUCCUGGUGUAGCGGUGAAAUGCGCAGAUAUCAGGAAGAACACCCGUGGCUAAGGCGGCUCUCUAGUACGGUACUGACGCUGAGACGCGAAAGCGUGGGGAGCGAACAG
rnacentral:rRNA from 1 species